rnacentral:miRNA from 1 species
UGAGGACCUGUAGAGUUCCGUUC